AAACAAAAUCCCCCCUUUCUUCUCCUCCUGAAGCUUUUCUUAGCCCUGUUUAUGUCAGUCAAUUUGCAUGCCUUAAUGCACUUAAAUAGAAGCCUCUGAUGGAAAAACAUUCUUCAUCAAAGUUUUUCAUCAUCAUCUCUUCUAUACCAUAUCCAAAAAUCAGUGCGAUCAGAUCUGUAAUGCAGUCUGUACAUCGAUCUAAGUAGAGGUUGCUCAGAAAUCAGUAGAUUUCGAGUUUCAACUUUUCUUUAUCCUCUUUCCUUAUCAAGAUUCCUCAAAUUCCUUUGGAAAUAAUUCUAUUAUGAGUGGUGUUCCUUGAUAUAUGACUGGGCUUGGCCAAAUUCGUCUUGUCUCCAUCUUUUCCUGUCAAAUUUCAUGAGGGAACUCACCCAUACGUUUGAUUCAGUGGAUUAGGGCCUCCUAUAACUCAAAGGAGAUCAGUGGACGAUGGCGUUGCAUAAAUUAUUCUCCCAAUAUCACUUAGCUUUGGACUCUAGGUAUGGGGACUCACCCUAGUUAGUGGUUUUCUAUAUUGUUUUAUAGUUUGAAAAUUGGUUUUCUAUGAUUGAGAUAAUGAGGGUGACCUGAGAGUGAGAGGAGCAUAGCAACUUCCUUGGGCUUCGAUCCCCUAAACCUCCGGAGGGGCCGUAUGGACAGUAGAGUGUCUAACAUCCUUUGAGGUGUGGUACUGCUUCUAGGUGAUACGGCGUAAGUGGACACUCUCGCUACGCCAUGCCGGUUUAAACGAUAGUAAUCGUGUUAAGGUAGUUGGCUUUAUGAUCGGUCAUCAGGUUUGUUAAUCGGAUAUCCGAAUAUUUGAGUUUAUAGAAAAUGUUUUCAAUGUGGAUUUUAUCUAUAUAUGUAGUUUUACUUACUCGCCGGCACCUAUGUUUAUAUAUUAGAAUUUUUUUCAAACCUAGCUGGGGUUGAGCCCUCUACUGGGCUAGCGACGACGAUUGCUCACCCCUACAACAGUUGUGUGAUUGCAGGUAUUGUGCACGAAGACGGGACAACUAGGAUUGGCGAUGGGUGUGGCAUGCUUUCUCUCAAUUUCAAAUUUGUGUAUUGUCGAAAAGUUGUUCCCGUUAACAGGUUUUGGAUUGUGGAUUCCAAAUCCUAUUAUCUAUCUCAUGAUUCUACCUAUUUCAUAAUUCCUUGUUUUGUAGUAAGUUUGUAACAAUUGAUCAGAACAUCUUCUUCAAUU